rnacentral:lncRNA from 1 species
AUGAGUAAUCAAUAUGGUGAUAAAUAAAAGGUGUUUUAUUUAUACUCAAAGGUUUGAGGCCAUAUGGGAUUAGUAUUAUUCUUGUGUUUCACAUUUGCAUGUUUUGACUUCCAGAAUAAUUGAGUUUAUUAAGAAUAAUCGAAUUAUUCAAACGGGCCACAGUCGUUCAUAUGUUGGAAGUAGAUAUGAAUGAAGACUGUCGUGAAUUGGUGUGUGGAUUGUCUAAAAGAGUAUUAGACAUAAGCAAAUGUUUGCUGCAACGUUCAUGAGUGCUUAUGAAUAUGAUUUGAGCAUUGGAUUAAACCCACGCUCACUUGGAUCACUCCUGGAAUUGUAUCACGAGUGAUUGGUGAGACGAUAACAUCUUAUAUUCUUGAAACCGAGAUGUGUGAGUUGUAUCUUGCAAAUCGGUUGCACAUUGAUAAUAUGUAAACGCACUAGUAACUUGGUGUUAUAAAACAUAUUGUUGUGUGUAAUUCGGUGAGUGAGUGCAAGCAAGCAUUAUAUCAAAGUUUAUCCGUUCCUUUUAUCCAAAGUAGGAUAAAAGCGAUAUCUUUGGGCCCCUCGAUGAUUUAGUGAUGACAAACGUAAAUGCUCGGCCGGGCUAGGGCUCAUUUGAUUUGUUCAAUUAGUCAGUCGUCAUAAAUCGUAAAUCGAGAAAUAGUACAAAGAGAAUGAUUUGAAAUCAUACGGUAUCUAGAAUGGAGGAAUAUAUGAUCCCUUAUCUAAAGGACACGCGUAUCUGAUAGGAUCAGAGUUGACAGCGGCUUUGGAAAGCUACGAUUGCAGAUCAGGAUCAGAAGUCAUACGCAUAAUAGUUAUUAGACUUAUCCAAGUGGGAGACUGUUCAAUUAGUGUCUAGCGCAUUUAGAGGGAAAAGGGACAAGAAUCGGUUUUGGCUAAAAUAAACAACUAUCAAAGGACAAUCCAAAGUUCGCCGAGGAUUGGUCGCUUAUGAGUAGUUGGAAGUAUAGUAUUGGAAAAUAUGGAAAUGGUUCCAUAUUGGAUGGACCAUAUCGACAUUAUUAUGAAUGGAUAAGAUUCUAUUAAGAAUGAGUUGUCAUAUGGAAAAUAUGGAAAUGUGUCCAUAUUGGGAAUUGAAUAUUGAAAAUCUAUGACUAGAUUAGAAACUUUUAUGCAAAAGGAUGUUCGAAGGAAUGUACUUUGAGUGAAAGACAUCAUAUCUAAGGAAUUGUAUUGUAACAAUUUCCGAUAGAGGACUUUGUAAUAUCAUUGGCAAUAGUCUUUGUGACUUUGGUACAGUGACAUUACGAAAGGAUCAUUGCAUAAAAUAUUAGAAUCUAACAUAUUCUAUAAGUAGCAAGAAUUUGAUAUUCUUUCACUUAUGGAAAUGGAUUUAGAGUUGUGAAAUGAGAAUGAUUGGAAAUGUGUUCAAUUUGAUCUAUUUCACAAAGUAAGAACCAUAGGUAAACAUUGUGUGCAUGCUAGGAGCAUGCGAUAAGUGCUGUAAUUCAAGUAAGAAGUUGAUUGCCUGAAACGACAAAUAAUGAGUAAUCGAUAUGGUGAUAAAUAAAGGCGUUUUAUUUAUACUCAAAGGCUUUGAGGCCAUAUGGGAUUAGUAUUAUUCUUGUGUUUCACUUUGCAUGUUUUGACUUCCUGAAUAAUUUAAUUGGUUAAGAACAGUCAAAUUAUUCGAACGGGCCACAGUCGUUCAUAUGUUGGAAGUAGGUAUGAAUGAAGACUGUCGUGAAUUGGUGUGUGGAAUGUCUAAAAGAGUAUUAUACAUAAGCAAAUGUUUGCUGCAACAUUCAUGAGUGCUUAUGAAUGUGAUUUGAGCAUUGGAUUAAACCCACGCUCACUUGGAUCACUCCAUGCAAUUGUAUCACGAGUGAUUGGUGAGACGAUAACAUCUUAUAUUCUUGAAACCGAGAUGUGUGAGUUGUAUCUUGCAAAUCGGUUGCACAUUGAUAAUAUGUAAACGCACUAGUAACUUGGUGUUAUAAAACAUAUUGUUGUGUGUAAUUCGGUGAGUGAGUGCAAGCAAGCAUUAUAUCAAAGUUUAUCCGUUCCUUUUAUCCAAAGUAGGAUAAAAGCGAUAUCUUUGGGCCCCUCGAUGAUUUAGUGAUGACAAACGUAAAUGCUCGGCCGGGCUAGGGCUCAUUUGAUUUGUUCAAUUAGUCAGUCGUCAUAAAUCGUAAAUCGAGAAAUAGUACAAAGAGAAUGAUUUGAAAUCAUACGGUAUCUAGAAUGGAGGAAUAUAUGAUCCCUUAUCUAAAGGACACGCGUAUCUGAUAGGAUCAGAGUUGACAGCGGCUUUGGAAAGCUACGAUUGCAGAUCAGGAUCAGAAGUCAUACGCAUAAUAGUUAUUAGACUUAUCCAAGUGGGAGACUGUUGG